CUGUUCGCCAUUUAAAGUGGUACGCGAGCUGGGUUUAGAACGUCGUGAGACAGUUCGGUCCCUAUCUGCCGUGGGCGUUGGAAGAUUGAAGGGGGCUGCUCCUAGUACGAGAGGACCGGAGUGGACGAACCUCUGGUGUUCGGGUUGUGUCGCCAGACGCAUUGCCCGGUAGCUAAGUUCGGAAUCGAUAACCGCUGAAAGCAUCUAAGCGGGAAGCGAGCCCUGAGAUGAGUCUUCCCUGAUACUUUAAGUAUCCUAAAGGGUUGUCGGAGACUACGACGUUGAUAGGUCAGGUGUGUAAGUGCUGUGAGGCAUUGAGCUAACUGAUACUAAUUGCCCGUGAGGCUUAACCAUACAACACCCAAGGGGUUU
rnacentral:rRNA from 2 species